CCUACGGGUGGCAGCAGUGAGGAAUAUUGGUCAAUGGGCGGGAGCCUGAACCAGCCAAGUCGCGUGAGGGAAGACGGUCCUAUGGAUUGUCAACCUCUUUAGGCGGGGAGCAAUGCCGGGCACGCGUGCCCGGAGCGAGAGUACCCGCAGCAUAAGCAUCGGCUAACUCCGUGCCAGCAGCCGCGGUAAUACGGAGGAUGCGCGCGUUAUCCGGAUUUAUUGGGUUUAAAGGGUGCGUAGGCGGAUUUUUAAGUCAGCGGUAAAAUGUGCGGGCUCAACCCGGGCCGGCCGUUGAAACUGGGGAGCUUGAGUGGGCGAGAAGUAUGCGGAAUGCGUGGUGUAGCGGGGAAAUGCAUAGAUAUAACGCAGAACUCCGAUUGCGAAGGCAGCAUACCGGCGCCCGACUGACGCUGAGGCACGAAAGCGUGGGGAUCGAACAGGAUUAGAUACCCCGGUAGUC
rnacentral:rRNA from 1 species